rnacentral:rRNA from 1 species
AUUGAACGCCGGCGGCAGGCUUAACACAUGCAAGUCGAGCGGUAGCACAGGGGAGCUUGCUCCCUGGGUGACGAGCGGCGGACGGGUGAGUAAUGUCUGGGAAACUGCCUGAUGGAGGGGGAUAACUACUGGAAACGGUAGCUAAUACCGCAUAACGUCGCAAGACCAAAGAGGGGGACCUUCGGGCCUCUUGCCAUCAGAUGUGCCCAGAUGGGAUUAGCUAGUAGGUGGGGUAAUGGCUCACCUAGGCGACGAUCCCUAGCUGGUCUGAGAGGAUGACCAGCCACACUGGAACUGAGACACGGUGCAGACUCCUACGGGAGGCAGCAGUGGGGAAUAUUGCACAAUGGGCGCAAGCCUGAUGCAGCCAUGCCGCGUGUGUGAAGAAGGCCUUCGGGUUGUAAAGCACUUUCAGCGAGGAGGAAGGUGGUGAGCUUAAUACGUUCAUCAAUUGACGUUACUCGCAGAAGAAGCACCGGCUAACUCCGUG